AGAAAAGACUUCUUCAUUGCAAAAUGCACUAUGCCAUGUUUAUUUGUUGAAUGACAGGACCCUCGCUCUUGUUAUGUGUUUCAAAGUUCAGGCAGUCCACGUUUCUCUGUUUACAUCCUAAGAAGAUAAAGGGUUCCCCCCAGCUUUGGUCGUUAACCGACCCCCCUAUCUGGUACAUUGUACCUCCCGCACUGACGGAGGACUUUAAACCUGUAACGGGUAGUGUAUUGGCACAGAGUGGAUUAAAUGCACCAGCUUUGGUCCAAUAGGUAGUCACUUUCUCUAAUUAGCUGUUGAUAUGAUUCAUCUUUGGCCGGCCACUACUGAGUCAGAACCGUAUUUUUCGUGAACCUGAAUCAUCAUCUAAGUUAACUUGUUACCCCGCCAAAGCACCUGCUUAGCGCUACUGUGUAUACUGACAGCGAGAUGAAGAAUGCGUCAUUCUUGAACACGAUGAGGAAUCGAUAUAUAUGACAAAUAGGUCAAUUCAGAGGCACCAAUGUCAGGUUAUGCAUGUAUGCUUACGUGUAUGGUAUAUCCUUGUUGGCUUUCUAUUUUUCAAAUUAUCGUGCAUGUGUUCAUGAAGAUCUGAGGAAGGAAUACAUGUAUGCAACGAUUAUGUUGAACUAAAAAUAAUUCUUUUGAAGAUCCCCAUCAAUAACAAAGAAUCUUGUUGUUCAGGAAAUCAUCAUCACCUUCUUCGUUUGUACUCGGCUGUAAACUAACUUUGCAAAAUAAAUUUGACAACGCGAAGAAACAAAAACAACUGCACCUUAAACCAUUGUCCGAAUUUGGAAGAUAACUGCCUUCAAGUUCAUUGGGUGGAAGACCCAACCCCCUCCUGUAGCUUACUGUACCUGUAAAGUUUAACUCUUGACCCCCACACCUUAGCCCCGGAGACUUGCCUAAUAGCCUUCCAUUUAUCGAGGGUUUUACCCACAUUAACUCUCCUCUGUGAGUCGUUUCUUUGAUGUGUUUGUUAAAAGAAGAUUAUGUUUCUGAGAGUAGUGUAUCAAAGGCUGUCGAUUUUUGUCUUUGUCUGAUAGUUUGUCUAAGAAACUAAUACAUCACAGCUUAAACAUGGCCAUGCACCGACGACUCUGAGCUUUGUUGUCUCUGAUGGACAAACCCUGGCGUGAGUCAGCAAAGAACAAAGACCGGCUUACCAACACAGGCUCCUUGUACAAACCUGACUAUGUUCAGACACAGGGUUCUGUUGACAAGCAGGGCACCUGGUGCAUUUUUGUAACCAUGGCAAAUACAUGCAGUGCUACAUUUAUUGAAAUAAGAACUUGGACAUCUCAGUUGCAAAAGAAGCAAUUUCAAACGGAAUUUGUGCACCUCAUAGGAAUGCGUUCUGUUGGAUUUCAUAGCUUUGUGCAAUUUACAUUUGUUUACCAGUGAAAUUAGUAAAUGUUAUGAUC
rnacentral:sRNA from 1 species